rnacentral:rRNA from 1 species
CGGACGGGUGAGUAACGCGUGGGUAACCUGCCUUAUACAGGGGGAUAACAGUCAGAAAUGGCUGCUAAUACCGCAUAAGCGCACAGCUUCACAUGAAGCAGUGUGAAAAACUCCGGUGGUACAGGAUGGUCCCGCGUCUGAUUAGCCAGUUGGCAGGGUAACGGCCUACCAAAGCGACGAUCAGUAGCCGGCCUGAGAGGGUGAACGGCCACAUUGGGACUGAGACACGGCCCAAACUCCUACGGGAGGCAGCAUG